CGGGAUGCCGCGGGCAGCGCUGGGGCGUGCGCUGGUGCUGCUACGCCGCGCGCGGCCCCGGGACCCCGGCCUGAGGCAGCUGUGGGCGCGCGGGGCCCUCCCGGAGGCCGCGGGGAAGCGGCGGGCCUGGGUCUGGGCCUGGAGCUGGAGGAGCCUGAGCUCCGAGCCGGGGCCGGGGCCCGGGGCCGCGGUCGGGCGCGUGGAGGCGGCGCACUACCAGCUGGUCUACACCUGCAAGGUCUGCGGGACUCGGUCCUCCAAGCGCAUCUCCAAGCUGGCCUACCACCAGGGCGUGGUCAUUGUGACCUGCCCUGGCUGCCGGAACCACCACAUCAUAGCCGACAACCUGGGCUGGUUCUCGGACCUGGACGGGAACAGGACCAGGACCUGCAUCCGGGCAGUGGUGGCCUGCUCCUCCCUGUGUGCUGUUUUGCUGCAGUGACUUCUACAGCCAGUUUCUGCUGUCAGAGCUCCGUGAAUGUCUGUGCACUCAGCUAAACGGGGCCUCUUCCCCAGGAGAUUCACCUUCUCUCUCUCCCGACUCUGGGUGGUGACCAUGGCAGCAUUUCAGGGAACAUUGAAGAAAUCCUGGCGGCCCGAGGGGAGCCAGUGCGCCGGGUGGCCGGCAAUGAUGCCCUGGAAGUAGUCUUGGAGGCGGCGGCAGCCCCCCAGCCCACUGCUGCUCUGGAAGGUGGUGAGGACG